rnacentral:rRNA from 1 species
GAUGAACGCUAGCGAUAGGCUUAACACAUGCAAGUCGAGGGGCAGCGAGGGUAGCAAUACCUGUCGGCGACCGGCGCACGGGUGAGUAACGCGUAUGUAACCUGCCCGCAACAGGGGGAUAACCCGGCGAAAGUCGGACUAAUACCGCAUAAAACAGGGGUCCCGCAUGGGAAUAUUUGUUAAAGAUUUAUCGGUUGCGGAUGGGCAUGCGUACCAUUAGGUAGUUGGUGAGGUAACGGCUCACCAAGCCUUCGAUGGUUAGGGGUUCUGAGAGGAAGGUCCCCCACACUGGUACUGAGACACGGACCAGACUCCUACGGGAGGCAGCAGUGAGGAAUAUUGGUCAAUGGGCGAGAGCCUGAACCAGCCAAGUCGCGUGAAGGAUGACUGCCCUAUGGGUUGUAAACUUCUUUUACAAGGGAAUAAAGUGAGAUACGUGUAUUUUAUUGCAUGUACCUUGGGAAUAAGCAUCGGCUAACUCCGUG